UAGAAUUGACUGCAUUUACUAUAAAUCACUGCUUCAUAGCUACGGAGUCUCAGAAUGCAAGUAAAAGUGGCUGUUCCCUUUUCACAGAUGGUGAAACCAGAGUGCUUGGAUCCAUCCUGCUCUAUGCGAUACAGUAUGAAUGAUGUCCUGAACCCAGGGCUAUGUGCUUCCAGCUCACAACUCAUUAGACUUUCCAGAACUGUAGAAACUUUCUGCAUUGUCUUCCAAGGCUUGGCUUCCGAGUCCCAUCUGGCAUAAUACUGGCUGGGAGGAGAGCACCUCGGAGGCAGGAGAAGUUAAGGUAGGCACGAAUUUAAUGUGUAGGUAUGAAAAUAAUUUCUUUUUCAUGUGGGAUCUGGGGGAUGCAUGAUACAUAAUUUAAAAACCGCUGCACUAGAGGAUUUUUAGGGGGUCUCACCAAUGCUGUAGGAUUAAGCAAGGUCGUUCCUUUUCUUUGUGCUGAGGAGGAUACCCAAAUAGCCUUUCCGCGAGUGAAAGGAUGAGCUUUCCUUUGCCCUUUUUGUUCACUGCUCUUGUCCAUACUCUCAGUUCUAUCCAGUGUGGAGGCCGGGGAAUGCUGAACAGGCAGGCGGGCUCCUUUGUAUUCUG
rnacentral:lncRNA from 1 species